rnacentral:rRNA from 1 species
AGAGUUUGAUCCUGGCUCAGGACGAACGCUGGCGGCGUGCCUAAUACAUGCAAGUCGAGCGAACCCUUCGGGGUUAGCGGCGGACGGGUGAGUAACACGUGGGCAACCUGCCUGUAAGACUGGGAUAACUUCGGGAAACCGGAGCUAAUACCGGAUAAUCCUUUCCCUCACAUGAGGGAGAGCUGAAAGACGGUUUCGGC